CUCACCACCCUCGGCCCACCCCCAGCCCCGGCGGUGGGUCGGGACUAAACUCGCCCCCCCUCCCCAAGUCGGCACCUGUGCGGCUCCUGGCGGAGGGAGGCGGAUCCCGGGGCUCAGCCGGACACCCCCAUCCACGGGCCGCGGCGACCGGCCGGAGCGCAGCGCAGCGGCGAGCCUGCGAGCCCGAGAGCGCUCCCCUGGCACUGGGGCUCCGCUCCCCUCCUCCACCCGCCCCCUCCGCCCCCUCCCCGCGCUCGCGCCCGCGCGCGCGGCCCUCCCCCGGCCCCCCCAACUGGCACGCGCAGUACCCAGACGUCAUCUUCUCGUUAACAUUCCUGGUCUUCCUUGGAGCACAAGCCGUGGGCCCACGGAGGCAUGUUACGACAAUGCCUAAGAGCUCCAGCACUCCGAAUAGCCCAGAAAAGCAUGUCCACUUGGAGAACCACAAGUACUUUUGUCAAGUUAGAGGUGAAGGUCAGGGUCUGAUGGUGACGUCUGUCUGGGCCGACGGGUACCAGGAGCUUUCCUUUGCUCCUUUAUGCAUUCAUUCUACAGACAUUUUAGUGGCGAGAAGGUUGCUAAGCAGGGUGAGACCCGCAAGAGAGAAGAGAAAGAGUCGAUCACUUCUGUCCUUCUGGUGACAUUAACCAGAGGGUAUCUUCCUGUGAGAGCGGAAGACACGUUGGUGGUUAGAAGAUCCCUGCGGCUGGCAUCCUGGAUUCAUGCCGGGUUGUGUGACCUUGGGCCAGUUAACCUUUCUGUGCCUCAUUCCCUGAGCUGAGGAGUGAAGAGCAAUGCGUCUCCUUUGGAGGCCUGUUGUGGGAUUGGAGGAGUUAAUGUGUAAAGGGCCUCCAGGCACAGGAGGGCGCUGUCUAAGCCUCUUUAUCAUCCUCUUAGGAGAAGCGUGGGGGGCCUAUCAGAGGCCACUGCCUGUGCUGAGCUGCAGAGCCUGCCGCAGAUGCACAGGCCCCAGAGAGGCGUGCGAGCAAGCGUGAUAGAGGGAUAAAGGACGCGGGCUCUGCAGACAACUUGGAUUCAAACCCCAGUCCCAGCCAGUGAGCUGGGCUAGUUACUUACCCUCACAGAGCCUCAGUUUCCUCAUCUGUAACAUGGGGCACUCCGAUAUCUUCUACCCAGUUGUCAUGCAGAUUAAAUAAUAUAAUGCUUGUGAAAGGCUUAGCACAGUGCCCAGCCUAUCGUUAGCAGUCCAUGAGUGUAGUCUGUUACUAUGAUGAUUGUUCUUGUGAGGAUAAGAAGAAACUGGAAGGUGAGGACUGGUAGUUGAGGGGCAUGAUAUGAGAACAAUUUUUGAUUGUGUACCAUGCCUUAGGCUAGAAGCUGGGGAAGUUAAAACGAAGGCAGGCCUUCAAGAGUUUAGCAUGCUGAUUUUCUAACUCUGCUGGCUGGAAUCCUGGAGGGAUUCAAUUAGGUCAUUUGGCAGUCCACACGCAUUUGAUAAUACCAAGUGUGUGCCAAGCACAGUGCAAAACUGAGGGCACAGAGAUGAAGGUCUCAAUCCACGUAAAUUAAGCUCUCGGCAUAGGAGCAACGUACAGCAGGUGCUCAACGAGGGCUGGUUCUAUGUUGUGUUUAGGAGAUGGAAGGAUCCUUAGGGCUGAGAGAUGAAGUUAUUCAUACCUCCCCACCCCACCAAUAAGAGCAAGCCCAAUCCUAGUUUCAUACAGACUAAAGAAGAGUUUCUAUAGUUUAAAAAAGUUUUAAAACAAACAACACUCCCAGUGGGCAAAGCAAUAAGUGUUCUAAAGGAGAUGAUGUGUUUUCUGAAACAGAGCUCCAUGACUGCUAUAUGACAGUGAAGAAGAGAGCAGGGGUUUUUCACAAGAGGCCACUCCAGACCACAGUUUCUCAGUCUCUCGGCACCAUUGGUAUUUUGGGCCGGAUAAUUCUUGGUUGUUGGUGGCUGCCCUGUGCAUUGUAGGGUGUUUGGCAGCAUCUCUAGCCACUGGAUGCCACUAGGUGCCAGUAACCCUCCAAUUUUGACACCAAAAUUGUCUCUAGACAAGCCAAAUGUCCCUGGGUAGCGGUGGCAGAAGAAAAAUCAUCAAGGUUGAGAACCACUGCCUUAGGGAGAGGUCUUUAAGGGAUGAAUGACCCUUCCUACUCAGGGGGCUAGUGGGGCCCAAGCUCCCAGUGCCUGACAGUAAGGCAGUACUGGGAGGUGGUGGGAGCAGGGCGAGGUUGGCAACAUUUCCUGAGCACCGACUAUGCAUUAGGUAUUCGCAGAGAUGAGCAAAGCAGGCACCCUUGCUGCCUUCAGAAAGUCUACUCUCUACUGCAGGGAAGUAAGACAUGGAAUGCUGCAUCAAGGAACUGUUGAACUUGAGUUUUGUUCAGUGGUAUGAAGGAGCAGUAGUGCGGUAAACUUACACUUGAGGUGGGAGGGAGGGCAGAGUUCAUGGAGCUGGAGGAAGAAAAGGCUUCCUGGAGGAAGUUGUGGUUAGGUAGAAUUGGCCAGGUAAAGAUCCUGUGUCAGGACAGGUCUCCGUCAGGCUGCAGAGUUUGGAUUUCAUGCCAAAAUCAUCAAGGGCGGUGGUGGCUGGCUUAGAGCUGUGUACCCAGAAAAGCAUGCUCUUCAUCUUAACCCAUCCUGUGGUGUGAACCCACUAUCUAUAGGGCCUUUCGAUGAGGUAACUUCCGUUAAGGUGUGGCCCAGCAGAAUCAGGAUGGACCUUAAUCCUUUACUGAAAGCCGGAUAGAGACGACCAGAGAGAGAGAAGCUAUGGGGAGCAGCCAGAAGCCAGAAGGCAAAGGAACCCCAAAGAGAAAGGAGAAGAUAUGACCAUGUGCAUUGCCAUGUGACAAAAAAACCAGGAACCCCAAAGAUUGCCAGUUGGCAAGAAGAUACUGACCCAGGAAGAAGCGAGCUUUCUAGCCUCUGAAACCUUGAGCCAAUAAAUUCCUGUUGUUAAGCCAGCCCAUUGCACGGAAUUUGUUUAGGAGCCAGGAAACUAAAACAGGAGCCGUUGCAGGCUUUUAAGUAGGAGUGACAGGAUAAACAAAUCGACUUCGAAAGAUAUUUCUUGCAGAUGAGUGGGGAAUGAUUCCGAAAUAGGAGACACUGGAGGCAGGUAGUCAAAAAUUCAGGUGAAGGGAAUGGAGCGCAAGGUAAGAUCUGGGAAGGGUUUUCAAAGGUAGACUCCAACACCCUUGGGGACACUUAGCUCUGCGAAGGAGAGGAGGGAUGGCUCGGUUCUCAGCUUUCUGGGAAGGAGUAAGAGAUGGAAGCAGUGAGUGGAAGUUUAGUUUGUCAGUCAAGGGAAGGAGAGUUAGGUGGCUUAAGGGAAAAGCAGAUGUAAAGGAAUGUUCCUUCAAACUGUUACAUUAAUAUGUUUGGGGCAAAAUUUUUUUUUAAUAAAAAUAAAAGUGCCUGCCAGCGUGACUCCAUUAAGUGAUGGGAGAAAGGCCAAGGAAAAGGAUGCGAUUAAAAAUGUAAAAUGAUAAAGAAAUAACUGAUAAAGCAAGGGGCCCAGGAAUAGGACAGAAUAGAACUAAAUUUUAGCACAGGUGUAAUAUAUAAGUUUGGGAAGGAAGGAGUAUAUUUUUUCCCCCAAGACAGGGUAGAUGGACAAUUCCUUAGGAUUGAAGCCUUAAAAAGAAAAAAAGAAAAAGAAAAUAAAGCCUCAGUUCUUCCAUCCUAAUAAGCUUAAAUACUCUCCUUUUGGUUAGGAAAGAAUAUGUAUCAAGGAAAAAUGUACAGGUGAAGAAGAAAAAUCAUCCAUUGAGAAGUUAAUUACUUGAUUCAGUGUCUUAAGUAUUGAAGUAGAAGAAAAUGGACACAACAGAUGUUUGUUGAGUGAAUGAAACAUAACCUGCAAAAGGAGACUUGGAGCAUAACUGAGGCCACGUCAUAGGUAUGCACUGUUGGUUAUUGGAGAUACCAGAUAAAUAACCGCCCUUGGAAUCAUACCAGUACCACCCUAGGGGCUUGUUUCAAGGGUUGCUGAUUUAUCUGAUGAUAGAAGCAAAGACUCCUGGUGUAUAGAGAGGAUGAGAGGUCAUCUUCUGGGCUGACUAUCCACCCAAUGCAGAGACCAAUAUCCCUCCCGGAUGCUUUUACAGUUUCUCUUAAACACCUCUAGUGAUGAGAAACUUGACCCCACUGAGCUAACCAGCCCAUUUUUUAUGGCUUCCAGUUCCAGGGCUUUUUUUUAAAAAAAGUAUUUAUUUAUUUGUUUGUCUGUUUGUUUGUUGAUAUAUUGGAGCCCAGGAUUGAACUUGGGACCCUGUAUAGGGGAAACCAGCCCCUAACUACUAAGCAACACCAGCUCCUUCCAGGGCUUUCCAAAGUUAAAAUUUGUUGACAGCAUGUUAUGUGUUGUACUCAUCCUGCUUGAUAUUCCUUAGAAGGAUCCUUCCUGAAGAAGCCAGUUUUCCCCGACAUUCUGGAAAUGAACUGCUGAUACCUAAUUGAAAAUCUGUGUCAAUUAUAGACCAGUAAAUAAAGUGUGUCUACCACUAGCAUUUUAAGAUGACUUGAUUUUCUAUCUGGUAGUUCUCAAACACCAGGAGUUAAUGCAAGCUUAGAUUCACCUCCAUCCUUAAUAUCCAGGGUUGAUUAACCUCUCUGAUUUGUUUCCACAGGGGAAAUGGAAUAUUCCCCAGGAUUCAAUAUCUGUUCAUACUCAUCUAGUCAGUAGGUAACUGCUCCAUACCAGAAAGCACACAGACCAAGAAUAAGUCCAUGUUGCCAUCCAAAGGCAGGAGCAGUGAUUUACAAAUUGAUAUUAAAUCAGCCCCAAGAAUAAUUACAAAUUCUGUCCUUACAAAUCUUCUGUAACCUAAUGAAAAGUGACAAAACUACAAGAAUUCUUUGGUACAUAAAGAAUGAGAUCCCUUAAGAGAGUGGAAAUUCCCAUAAGUGUAAAUGGGAUGACACUCUUCCUACAUAAACAUUUCUCGAUGAGAAUAGAUUUGGAUAUCUCAAGAAAGGAGACCCACAAUUUUAUAGGAAAAGAAAAUCGGGAUCCCCAUUAUGGGAAGAGCUUUUCUUUGUACAGGUCGUCAUAACAAGACACACACACA
ensembl:lincRNA